rnacentral:misc_RNA from 1 species
AAAAUGCGAUAAGUAAUGUGAAUUGCAGAAUUCAGUGAAUCAUCGAAUCUUUGAACGCACAUUGCGCCCGCCAGUAUUCUGGCGGGCAUGCCUGUUCGAGCGUCAUUUCAACCCUCAAGCCCCCGGGUUUGGUGUUGGGGCUCGGGCUGCGGUUCUGCCGCGUCCCGGCCCCGAAAUCUAGUGGCGGUCUCGCUGCAGCCUCCAUUGCGUAGUAGCUAACACCUCGCAACUGGAACGCGGCGCGGCCAAGCCGUUAAACCCCCAACUUCUGAAUGUUGACCUCGGAUCAGGUAGGAAUACCCGCUGAACUUAAGC